CCUCGCUCUCUCCGCACGAACCUCUCUGUCUCUCGCGACUCCUCUCUCCCCCACGAGCCUCUCUCCCUCGCCGCCGCCACCACCCACGCCGCCCAGUUCCGGCGAGCUCCGGCGGCGCGCAGCACGCCCCCGAGCUCCCCUAGGUCCGCUCCACCUCCCCCUCCAUCCAGAAUCGGCGCUCCCGCUCUCCACUGUCCCCGUGGCUAGCUAGGGUUUCGGCCGCCACCCCCAACAUCGCCGGGAUCAGCCACAUCCGGCGACGGCGAGGCCAGAGCUCGACGAAUCCGUUACCGGUGUGUCACAGGUCACCUUGGCGCGGUCUGGACGACGACGACGGCAGGAGGGCGCCGUCCUUCCUACUGGCGCACCUAGCUGGCGGCCCUGUCCUGCUCGAGGAGGCGGGCUGUCUAGCUCAAGCACGGCCACGACGACCCACCUCGGCAGGUAGGUACCGCUGAUGUACUGGAGCCUUGAUCUUAAUUUUUCUUCAUUGAUGUCCUUGGAGAAGAUGGCCAUUGGAGUGUAGGGGAGGAACAACCUUGUCUUGCUCGAGGAGGACCAC